CGGCGGACGGGUGAGUAACACGUGGAUAACCUACCUAUAAGACUGGGAUAACUUCGGGAAACCGGAGCUAAUACCGGAUAAUAUAUUGAACCGCAUGGUUCAAUGGUGAAAGACGGUUUUGCUGUCACUUAUAGAUGGAUCCGCGCCGCAUUAGCUAGUUGGUAAGGUAACGGCUUACCAAGGCAACGAUGCGUAGCCGACCUGAGAGGGUGAUCGGCCACACUGGAACUGAGACACGGUCCAGACUCCUACGGGAGGCAGCAGGG
rnacentral:rRNA from 1 species